GCCAGGCGUGGUGGCUCACGCCUGUAAUCCCAGCACUUUGGGAGGCUGAGGUGGGCUGAUUGCUUUGAGCUCAGGAGUUUGUGAGCAGCCUGGGCAACAUAGCGAGACCCCAUCUCUA
rfam:Homo sapiens chromosome 2, GRCh38 reference primary assembly.